AUGAAUAGAAACUGGAACAUUCUCAAUUGGAACAUCAGAGGUAUUAAUGACAGUAACAAAUGGCUUGCUCUUAGAAAUAAGAUUGCUGAGGCAAAUGUAGAUAUUGUCUGUCUCCAAGAAACUAAGAAAGAGCAUUUUGAUUACGGAUAUCUCAAAAACUUCUGCCCCAACAGGAUAAAUUGUUUUGACUUUCUACCCUCUGUGGGUGCUUCUGGUGGUCUUCUCAUAGCAUGGAAUGGCAGCAUUUUUGAUGGAGAAACUCUUUUUCAAAAUGAGUUUUCCAUUUCCAUCAGAUUCACAUCUAAGCUCACUAGUGAUUCUUGGAUUCUUACCAACAUUUAUGGCCCAUGUCAAGGUGCAGUUAGAGAAGAUUUCCUGAACUGGUUCAGCAUCCAAAUGCCUGAUGAGACCAAGUGGAUGAUCAUGUGA
rnacentral:rRNA from 1 species